rnacentral:lncRNA from 1 species
UCCCAAGUGCCAAACCCCAAAGUGCCCUCCAAAAUGCCCCCCAAAAUGUCCUCCCAAGUGCCCCCCUGUGUCUUCCUGCUGUAGCCUGGGUUCUGGGGGCUGCUGCAGCUCUGGGGGCUGCUGUGGCUCCAGCUCUGGUGGAUGCUGCAGCUCUGGGGGUGGAGGCUGCUGCCUGAGCCACCACAGACCCCGCAGAUCUCUCCGUCGCCAUCGUCACAGCUCUGGAUGCUGUAGCAGUGGUGGUAGCAGUGGCUGCUGUGGUAGCAGUGGUGGCAGCAGUGGCUGUUGUGGUAGCAGUGGUGGCAGCAGUGGCUGCUGUGGCAGUAGCCAGCAGUCUGGAGAUUGCUGCUGACCUGGGUGAGGAAGACUUCAGUCAAGUGGUGCAGGAGGAGCAGAGUCUCAGAAGACUCCCCAGUGCUUGAUGAUCUCUAUUUUCCUGCUUCCCUCCUUCCAUGUCCUCUGGUGUGCUCAAACGUCCUGGCAAAUGAUUUUCAGUCUCCUCGGGAAAUGACAAUUUCCCUUUCCCCUUUGUUGCAAAUUAAAAAUGUCUUGACAACAAU